GAACGGAGCAAUCCGGUC
rnacentral:snRNA from 1 species